UCAAAUAAUAUAAAAAAUAAUAUAUAUAUUGACAUGGAUUAAACAAAGAUAUAUAUUAUUCUAUGUUGUAUGAACAAAUUGGCAAAAUAGAGAUGGAAGAUAAAAAUAUGGUCAAAGUAAUAAGAGUCUAUGGUGAAUGCCUAGGAGCUUUAAGGCGAAGAAGGUCGUGGUAAGCUGCGAAAAGCUUGGGGGAGAAGCAAACAUUUAUUGAUCCCAAGAUUACCGAAUGGAGUAAUCCAGCUAGCAAGAUGCUAGCUAUCUAUUAUCUAAAUAAUAGAGGCGAUACC
rnacentral:misc_RNA from 1 species